GACGUAGGGUGCAAGCGUUAAUCGGAAUUACUGGGCGUAAAGCGUGCGCAGGCGGUUUUGUAAGACAGGUGUGAAAUCCCCGGGCUCAACCUGGGAACUGCACUUGUGACUGCAAGGCUAGAGUGUGUCAGAGGGAGGUGGAAUUCCGCGUGUAGCAGUGAAAUGCGUAGAGAUGCGGAGGAACACCGAUGGCGAAGGCAGCCUCCUGGGAUAACACUGACGCUCAGGCACGAAAGCGUGGGGAGCAAAC
rnacentral:rRNA from 1 species